ensembl:lncRNA
GGGUGAUGAUGGGAUGGGAGGACGGGUUUGGGAGCAGGAGCUCUGGAUGAGGAGGAAGAGCAGGUUCCAUGGGUUCCUCGGGAGAGGCACCCCAGCAGGAAGACUCCGGAUGUAGAGCAGGUCUGAGUGAUGACAAGACCCAGGAGGAGACACUGCUGGGAGGCGGGUGACUGCGUGCAGUAAGGGCCUCUGCCCAGAUCUGCCCCGAAGUCAGGAAGGAGUGACGCCGAGCACCUCCAUAGGAGAGACAGGAGUGGAGGGGGCUGGAAGGUCGCUGGUGGUCGGUGCCUGGGGACCAGCUUGCGGGUCAGAGUAUCUCAUGGUCACUGCCCCUCCGCUUAUGUCCAAAGAGCUCCCACUCCCACCCCUCAGCCCCCACCCUGUUGCCUGGCUGCAGACUUGGGGAUGAAGUUAGUCUUGAUGUUGGCUGAGAGGCUUCUGUACUGGUCUGUUUGUGGCCUAAUUACUAUAAUAACCUGGGCAAGGCGUGAUGACAGGUGAGGCAUCUUAAAUCCAGGUUUAUCUCUGUUCCAGUUGACCAUUUGACUCCUACCAGGAAGUUAUUCCAGUGAUUUAUUCUCUGCAGUUUCAAUACAAGGAUUUUGGCCUUUGAUUCCUCCACGUGAAAAUAUCCAAGAUUUAUUUGAUGGUAAAGGAUAAAGGCAUUUGAAAGAGUGGACACACCAUAUUAUUACCAAAUCCUUAGUCUGAGGGAGGUUCACUAAGGUUUAUCCCAGUGUGAAUUAAAACAAGUAAUGUGGUUUACAAACUCCUUUAAAAAAAAACAACAAAAGUCAGAAGUCAUCUGAAAAUGAUUUCUCCUCUGAGUUCUACUGUUAAGGACAUAUCUUUUAAAGCAGUAUCACCUUUAUAAGUUUUAAUGGAAAUCCCAGUGGGAGGGGGAAAAAAAGAGAAAAGAAAAAUACUAGAUUUAGUAUCAAGGGUUAAACCUAAAAACAAAAACCACCAGCAAGUGGGUGGGAGAGUCUAGGUGCAAAAAGCAGGAGGAAACAAUGCAAGAAAAAGAAUGAAAACACACUUCUUUCUUUUAAAUGAUCAUUUUUAAGCAUCAAAACUGUUCUCCCUUUGUCAAGGAACCCCUUUGAGCCUAGCUUGAGAACUCAGUGGAGUGAAGGCUGAGAAGUCGAUCUGGGACAUAAGACAGGAGCUUCAUUCUGAUGCCAGGCUGAUAAGAAGUGAUGUGGAAAAAUUGGAGCCCUUGUACACCGCUGGUGUGUAUCAGAAUGUGAAAUGAUGCAGUCACUGUGGAAAACUGCUCAGUGGCUCUUCAGAAAGUUAAACAAUCUGAGCACGUGCUCCAGUGCCCCCAUGCCCAGGGAUAUACCUAAAAGAACAGAAAACUGGAGCUCAGAAGAUGCUUGUAUGUGACUGUCCGCAGCAGCAUCCUUCGCUAUAACAGCGAUGGGAACAAUCCAAGUGUCCACUACAGAUGUGAGUAUACCCUGAGCAUGGGCACUGAGUGGAGUAUACCCAAGGCACAUGCACAGAGUGGAGUAUACACAGGACACGUGCACCGAGCAAUGAGCAGCCGACCCUGCAGAGGGAGGAGGCUGGAGGACAGGCCCGGUGAGACCACCCAGACACAAGAAGACUAUCCUGCAUGAGUCC